GACGAACGCUGGCGGCGCGCCUAACACAUGCAAGUCGAACGGGGAUGCAAAGAAGCUUGCUUCAUUGCAUUCUAGUGGCGAACGGGUGAGUAACACGUGAGUAACCUGCCUUACAGAGGGGGAUAACGUUUGGAAACGAACGCUAAUACCGCAUAACAUUGUUUUUUCGCAUGGAGAGACAAUCAAAGGAGUCAAAUCCGCUGAAAGAUGGGCUCGCGCCCGAUUAGAUAGUUGGUGAGGUAACGGCUCACCAAGUCAACGAUCGGUAGCCGGACUGAGAGGUUGAACGGCCACAUUGGGACUGAGACACGGCCCAGACUCCUACGGGAGGCAGCAGUGGGGGAUAUUGCACAAUGGGGGAAACCCUGAUGCAGCGACGCCGCGUGAGGGAAGAAGGUUUUCGGAUUGUAAACUUCUGUUAUAAAGGAAGAACGGUACAUGGAGGGAAUGCCAUGUAAGUGACGGUACUUUAUGAGAAAGCCACGGCUAACUACGUGCCAGCCGCCGCGGUAACAC
rnacentral:rRNA from 1 species